AGGUCGCACUUAUGCUGCUUG
rnacentral:siRNA from 1 species